rnacentral:rRNA from 1 species
AUGGAAAGUGCUGGAAUCAGCAAACACAAAAUUAUGGAUGUAUUGUGCAUCCUGUAUGGUGGAUAUGACCAGGUUGGAUGCACGACGAGGGACAUCUAUAACUUCUGCCAUCGGUACAAGCAGGAAAUAGUCGCAGGUGGUGAUGCUCAGACGGUGAUCCGUCACAUUAUUGCGCGGCAAGAGAGAAAUCCAGAUUAUUUGUUCAAAUACUUUGAUAGAGAUAGGCAUCUGAAGGGAUUGUUUUGGUCUGAUAGUCAAUCUCGGAUUGACUACGAGGCUUUCGGUGAUGUUGUUUUUGAUAGCACGUACAGGACCAAUAAGUACAAUCUGUCGUUUGUGUUGUUUGUCGGGUUGAAUCACCACCGUGGCACUGCUAUUUUUGGAUGUGGGGUCAUUUCUCAUGAAACUAACGAGGCGUACGAGUGGAUGUUACACACAUUUUCUGAAGCCAUGUCGCAGAAGCAUCUAAUAUCUGUAAUCACUGAAGGGGACCUUGCAAUGCAGAGAGCAAUUAGGGUGGCGUGGCCUGACUCAAACAACAGGCUAUGCGUAUGGCACAUUCAGCAGAACAUUGUACGCCAUCUGCAUGAUGACGAGGUUAAGAAAUAA